UGGUCGAGCGGGGCGGCGCGCUGCUCCAUGCGCUGCUGGCGCAGGGGCGCCGGCCGGACUGGGCCUGGUUCGAGGCCAUGCUCGGCUAU
rnacentral:tRNA from 1 species